UACUUGUCUAAAACCUCCUGGGCCUCGUGAGAUCCCCUAAGUCAUGCCAAGAGCCAGCUGUCUUUCUGUCCUGUAUGUGACGGGGCGUCCACACACCCCUGACACCGUGCUCUGCCACCCCCUUCACCUGCAGAGCCACAGACUUGGAAGUUCAGACACAGAGAGCUGAGCAAACGCCUGAUGGAGUUAUAUACCUUCAGCUGGUCACAAUGGAGAAGCUGUUAAAAGGGAUGGAGGUGAGACUCAGCUGUGGAGAUGCGCGAGAGGAUGGAGGUGAGACUCAGCUGUGGAGAUGCACGAGAGGAUGGAGGUGAGGGAGGCUGAGCUGCUGAGAUGCGCGAGAGGAUGGAGGUAAUUCUGCUCUAACUGCACUUGCCCGCUUCGUCUCAAGAGGCGCUAGAGUGCUGACUGCGGAUUGUACACCAGAAGGGCAAGCAUUUAUGAACCUGUGGAGAAGCCAUCUGUGCUGGCUGAACUUCCCAGUAUGACCGCUUUGAAAUUACCCGCAUUCCUGGCAGCAACCCCUCGCCCUUUGUAAGUCUAAUAAACUCAUUGGUUCUCCAAGUUGGA